AUUGAACGCUGGCGGCAUGCCUUACACAUGCAAGUCGAACGGCAGCAUGGAAGAGCUUGCUCUUCUGAUGGCGAGUGGCGAACGGGUGAGUAAAGCAUCGGAACGUACCGUGUAAAGGGGGAUAACGUAGCGAAAGUUACGCUAAUACCGCAUACGACCUGAGGGUGAAAGCAGGGGAUCGCAAGACCUUGCGUUAUACGAGCGGCCGAUGUCAGAUUAGCUAGUUGGUAGGGUAAAGGCCUACCAAGGCGACGAUCUGUAGCGGGUCUGAGAGGAGGAUCCGCCACACUGGGACUGAGACACGGCCCAGACUCCUACGGGAGGCAGCAGUGGGGAAUUUUGGACAAUGGGGGAGACCCUGAUCCAGCCAUGCCGCGUGAGUGAAGAAGGCCUUCGGGUUGUAAAGCUCUUUCGGCCGGGAAGAAAUCGCACAGGCUAAUACUCUGUGUGGAUGACGGUACCGGCAUAAGAAGCACCGGCUAACUACGUGCCAGCCGCCGCAGUAA
rnacentral:rRNA from 1 species